UACGUAGGGGGCAAGCGUUAUCCGGAUUUACUGGGUGUAAAGGGAGCGUAGACGGCAUGGCAAGUCAGAUGUGAAAGCCCGGGGCUCAACCCCGGGACUGCAUUUGAAACUGUCAGGCUGGAGUGCAGGAGAGGUAAGUGGAAUUCCUAGUGUAGCGGUGAAAUGCGUAGAUAUUAGGAGGAACACCAGUGGCGAAGGCGGCUUACUGGACUGUAACUGACGUUGAGGCUCAAAAGCGUGGGGAGCAAACAGG
rnacentral:rRNA from 1 species